UCGCUCCUACCGAUUUCGAGUGGUCCGGUGAGCCUUUCGGACCGGGCGCGGCCUCCCCCCGGAGAUACCGCCGCCUGGGAAGUCAAGCAAACUGUAUUACUUAG
rnacentral:rRNA from 1 species